CUACGAAGAGAAGGAUCCCCAACAUGACGAGCACCAGAGACAACACUCGCAUUCUGUGCUUGAUGGCUCUUGUCGCCAUGUCUACCACCAUCAUUUCCUGCCAUGCAGCAGGUACAACAGGUCUGGGUAUAACAAGCACUUUUAUGAAAUUGUGUGUAGCCGCAAAAGGUUGUGCGCCCCCAAUCCAACCUAGUGGCAACGUUCUGUGCAAGGCUUAUUGUGUAGGCCAAGGUUACAAUAAGGAUAAAAGCUAUUGCUCACCAGAUAAUGGCGGCAUGUGCUGCUGCGAGAAGUAAUGAAUUACAUGUAUUGCCAUGUGCUGGAAAGAUAUGGUGCACCAUUGAGAAUAUCUAUCUAUGUACAUCGGAAAUUACUUCACAUGAAGAAUAAUCAAUAUAUAUACACUUCUGCUUCGAUA